rnacentral:rRNA from 1 species
AACGAACGCUGGCGGCAGGCCUAACACAUGCAAGUCGAGCGAGGACUUCGGUUCUAGCGGCGGACGGGUGAGUAACGCGUGGGAAUGUGCCCUUUUCUACGGAAUAGCCCUGGGAAACUGGGAGUAAUACCGUAUACGCCCUAUUGGGGAAAGGUUUAUCGGAGGAGGAUCAGCCCGCGUUGGAUUAGGUAGUUGGUGGGGUAAUGGCCUACCAAGCCGACGAUCAGUAGCUGGUUUGAGAGGAUGAUCAGCCACACUGGGACUGAGACACGGCCCAGACUCCUACGGGAGGCAGCAGUGGGGAAUAUUGGACAAUGGGGGCAAGCCUGAUCUAGCCAUGCCGCGUGAGUGAUGAAGGCCUUAGGGUUGUAAAGCUCUUUCAGCUGGGAAGAUAAUGACGGUACCAGAAGAAGAAGCCCCGGCUAACUUCGUG